GAUGAACGCUGGCGGCGUGCCUAAUACAUGCAAGUCGAGCGAACAGACGAGGAGCUUGCUCCUCUGACGUUAGCGGCGGACGGGUGAGUAACACGUGGAUAACCUACCUAUAAGACUGGGAUAACUUCGGGAAACCGGAGCUAAUACCGGAUAAUAUAUUGAACCGCAUGGUUCUAUAGUGAAAGACGGUUUUGCUGUCACUUAUAGAUGGAUCCGCGCCGCAUUAGCUAGUUGGUAAGGUAACGGCUUACCAAGGCAACGAUGCGUAGCCGACCUGAGAGGGUGAUCGGCCACACUGGAACUGAGACACGGUCCAGACUCCUACGGGAGGCAGCAGUAGGGAAUCUUCCGCAAUGGGCGAAAGCCUGACGGAGCAACGCCGCGUGAGUGAUGAAGGUCUUCGGAUCGUAAAACUCUGUUAUUAGGGAAGAACAAAUGUGUAGUAACUAUGCACGUCUUGACGGUACCUAAUCAGAAAGCCACGGCUAACUACGUG
rnacentral:rRNA from 1 species